rnacentral:rRNA from 1 species
AGAGUUUGAUCCUGGCUCAGGAUGAACGCUGGCGGCAUGCCUAAUACAUGCAAGUCGAACGGGGUGCUUGCACCCAGUGGCGAACGGGUGAGUAACACGUAUCUAAUCUACCCAUUAGCGGGGGAUAACAGUUGGAAACGACUGCUAAUACCGCAUACGACAUUUUCUGGCAUCAGAGAAUGUUAAAAGGUCCGUUUGGAUCACUAAUGGAUGAGGGUGCGGCCGUAUUAGUUAGUUGGUGGGGUAAUGGCCUACCAAGACAAUGAUACGUAGCCGAACUGAGAGGUUGAUCGGCCACAUCGGGACUGAGACACGGCCCGAACUCCUACGGGAGGCAGCAGUAGGGAAUUUUUCACAAUGGGCGAAAGCCUGAUGGAGCAAUGCCGCGUGACUGAAGACGGUCUUCGGAUUGUAAAGGUCUGUUGUAAGGGAAGAACAGUAAGUAUAGGAAAUGAUACUUAUUUGUGACGGUACCUUACCAGAAAGCCACGGCUA